rnacentral:rRNA from 1 species
UACCCGCUGACGAGCGGCGGACGGGUGAGUAAUGCAUAGGAAUCUGCCCGAUAGUGGGGGAUAACCUGGGGAAACCCAGGCUAAUACCGCAUACGUCCUACGGGAGAAAGGGGGCUUCGGCUCCCGCUAUUGGAUGAGCCUAUGUCGGAUUAGCUAGUUGGUGAGGUAAUGGCUCACCAAGGCAACGAUCCGUAGCUGGUCUGAGAGGAUGAUCAGCCACAUCGGGACUGAGACACGGCCCGAACUCCUACGGGAGGCAGCAGUGGGGAAUAUUGGACAAUGGGGGCAACCCUGAUCCAGCCAUGCCGCGUGUGUGAAGAAGGCCCUCGGGUUGUAAAGCACUUUCAGCGAGGAAGAACGCCUAUCGGUUAAUACCCGGUAGGAAAGACAUCACUCGCAGAAGAAGCACCGGCUAACUCCGUGCCAGCAGCCGCGGUAAUACGGAGGGUGCAAGCGUUAAUCGGAAUUACUGGGCGUAAAGCGCGCGUAGGUGGCUUGAUAAGCCGGUUGUGAAAGCCCCGGGCUCAACCUGGGAACGGCAUCCGGAACUGUCAGGCUAGAGUGCAGGAGAGGAAGGUAGAAUUCCCGGUGUAGCGGUGA